AACACAUGGAAAAAGAACGAAGAGGUCCCUUCGGGGAUACUUCAGUGGCGGAUUGCCGAGUAACACGUAGGUGACCUGCCCCGAAGUGUGGAAUAGCAGUCCGAAAGGAUUGCUAAUACCGCAUGUGGUCUGUGAGGUUAGAGUCUUGCAGACUAAAGCAGUAAUGUGCUUCGGGAGGGGCCUGCGCCCCAUCAGCUAGUUGGUAGGGUAAUGGCCUACCAAGGCUACAACGGGUAGGGGGCCUGAGAGGGUGACCCCCCACAUUGGCACUGACACACGGGCCAAACUCCUACGGGAGGCAGCAGUGGG
rnacentral:sRNA from 1 species